rnacentral:lncRNA from 1 species
CUACAGUGCAGAGAAUUUCUCUUUGAGGAAAUUCCUUGUCUAAAAUAUGUGCAAGCUUUUCUUGGCUGUGCCAAAAUUUAGGCUCAUCCAAUGCCAGGGUGGUUGGUUUUAAAUGGGAACAUCAUCUUAUCAAGUCUUUUUUGCCAAGUCCAUGCUUGGAUGCCCAGCUAUCUUGCCCGAAGAGAGGAGUAGGUAUACUUCUGAUUGCCUGUAAU